rnacentral:rRNA from 1 species
UACGGGGGGGGCAAGCGUUGUUCGGAAUUACUGGGCGUAAAGGGCUCGUAGGUGGCCAACUAAGUCAGACGUGAAAUCCCUCGGCUUAACCGGGGAACUGCAUCUGAUACUGGAUGGCUUGAGUUUGGGAGAGAGAUGCGGAAUUCCAGGUGUAGCGGUGAAAUGCGUAGAUAUCUGGAGGAACACCGGUGGCGAAGGCGGCAUCCUGGACCAACACUGACACUGAGGAGCGAAAGCGUGGGGAGCGAACAGG